rnacentral:rRNA from 1 species
AGAGUUUGAUCAUGGCUCAGAUUGAACGCUGGCGGCAGGCCUAACACAUGCAAGUCGAACGGUAACAGGAAGCAGCUUGCUGCUUUGCUGACGAGUGGCGGACGGGUGAGUAAUGUCUGGGAAACUGCCUGAUGGAGGGGGAUAACUACUGGAAACGGUAGCUAAUACCGCAUAACGUCGCAAGACCAAAGAGGGGGACCUUCGGGCCUCUUGCCAUCGGAUGUGCCCAGAUGGGAUUAGCUUGUUGGUGGGGUAACGGCUCACCAAGGCGACGAUCCCUAGCUGGUCUGAGAGGAUGACCAGCCACACUGGAACUGAGACACGGUCCAGACUCCUACGGGAGGCAGCAGUGGGGAAUAUUGCACAAUGGGCGCAAGCCUGAUGCAGCCAUGCCGCGUGUAUGAAGAAGGCCUUCGGGUUGUAAAGUACUUUCAGCGGGGAGGAAGGGAGUAAAGUUAAUACCUUUGCUCAUUGACGUUACCCGCAGAAGAAGCACCGGCUAACUCCGUGCCAGCAGCCGCGGUAAUACGGAGGGUGCAAGCGUUAAUCGGAAUUACUGGGCGUAAAGACGCACGCAGGCGGUUUGUUAAGUCAGAUGUGAAAUACCCCGGGCGUCAACCUGGGAACUGCAUCUGAUACUGGCAAGCUUGAGUCUCGUAGAGGGGGGUAGAAUUCCAGGUGUAGCGGUGAAAUGCGUAGAGAUCUGGAGGAAUACCGGUGGCGAAGGCGGCCCCCUGGACGAAGACUGACGCUCAGGUGCGAAAGCGUGGGGGAGCAAACAGGAUUAGAUACCCUGGUAGUCCACGCCGUAAACGAUGUCGACUUGGAGGUUGUGCCCUUGAGGCGUGGCUUCCGGAGCUAACGCGUUAAGUCGACCGCCUGGGGAGUACGGCCGCAAGGUUAAAACUCAAAUGAAUUGACGGGGGCCCGCACAAGCGGUGGAGCAUGUGGUUUAAUUCGAUGCAACGCGAAGAACCUUACCUGGUCUUGACAUCCACAGAACUUUCCAGAGAUGGAUUGGUGCCUUCGGGAACUGUGAGACAGGUGCUGCAUGGCUGUCGUCAGCUCGUGUUGUGAAAUGUUGGGUUAAGUCCCGCAACGAGCGCAACCCUUAUCCUUUGUUGCCAGCGGUCCGGCCGGGAACUCAAAGGAGACUGCCAGUGAUAAACUGGAGGAAGGUGGGGAUGACGUCAAGUCAUCAUGGCCCUUACGACCAGGGCUACACACGUGCUACAAUGGCGCAUACAAAGAGAAGCGACCUCGCGAGAGCAAGCGGACCUCAUAAAGUGCGUCGUAGUCCGGAUUGGAGUCUGCAACUCGACUCCAUGAAGUCGGAAUCGCUAGUAAUCGUGGAUCAGAAUGCCACGGUGAAUACGUUCCCGGGCCUUGUACACACCGCCCGUCACACCAUGGGAGUGGGUUGCAAAAGAAGUAGGUAGCUUAACCUUCGGGAGGGCGCUUACCACUUUGUGAUUCAUGACUGGGGUGAAGUCGUAACAAGGUAACCGUAGGGGAACCUGCGGUUGGAUCACCU